rnacentral:rRNA from 1 species
UAGGGAAUAUUAGAAAUGGACGAAAGUCUGAUCUAGCAACACCGCGUGUGCGAAGAAGGCCUUCGGGUCGUAAAGCACUUUUUGGCAGGAAUAGGAAGGAAUGUACUUCCAGAAUAAGUCUCGGCUAACUACGUGCCAGCAGCCGCGGUAACACGUAGGAGGCGAACGUUAUCCGGAUUUACUGGGCGUAAAGCGCGUGUAGGUGGUUCUGUAAGUAGGUCGUGAAAGCUCCUGGCUCAACUGGGAGAGGCCGUGCGAAACUACAGAACUAGAGGAUGGUAGAGGGAGGUGGAAUUCCAGGUGUAGCGGUGGAAGGCGCAGAUAUCUGGAUGAACACCAGUGGCGAAGGCGGCCUCCUGGACCAUUCCUGACACUCAGACGCGAAAGCUAGGGUAGCAAACG